AGAUUGAAUGCUGGCGGCAGGCCUAACACAUGCAAGUCGAGCGGUAGAGAGGUGCUUGCACCUCUUGAGAGCGGCGGACGGGUGAGUAAUGCCUAGGAAUCUGCCUAGUGGUGGGGGAUAACGUUCGGAAACGGACGCUAAUACCGCAUACGUCCUACGGGAGAAAGCGGGGGACCUUCGGGCCUCGCGCCAUUAGAUGAGCCUAGGUCGGAUUAGCUAGUUGGUGAGGUAAUGGCUCACCAAGGCGACGAUCCGUAACUGGUCUGAGAGGAUGAUCAGUCACACUGGAACUGAGACACGGUCCAGACUCCUACGGGAGCAGCAGGUGGGGGAAUAGUUGGACAAGUGGGGGACGAAAAGGCCC
rnacentral:rRNA from 1 species